rnacentral:lncRNA from 1 species
UCUCUGAAUGCUGAGUUCUGCCUUAAAACAGCAUGGGUCAUGCUAGAUGAAAGGGAUCUCUGUUUUAUACUCUCAUCUCUUCGCUAUUGCCGUGGGAUGAAAGACAGCAGAAGGAAGGUGUCUAAGUUCAGAACAAAGUGAGCAAGACCAGCUGGCUGCUGUUGGUAGCAGAGGCACAGCCAGCCUGUCAUGGCACUGGGGGGCCGAGGUGAGCUGUGCCCCCUCCUCCUGGGCUUGUGACCCUCUGCCCCCCAUGGGAGUUUCACUCUGGCUCCUAGGCUGGAAUGCAGUGGCACCAUCUCAGCUCUCUGCAACCUCCACUUCCCAGGUUCAAGCGAUUCUCCUGCCUCACCCUCCUGAGUAGCUGGGACUACAGGCGAGCACCACCACAGCCGGCUAAUUUUUCUAUUUCUAGUAGAAAUGGGGUUUCACCAUGUUGGCAGGCUGGUCUCGAACUCUGACCUCAAGUGAUCUGCCUGCCUCAGCCUCUGAAAGUGCUGGAUUGCAGGCGUGAGCCACCGCACCAGGCCUAAACAGAUUUCUUUACAAUCUACCACCAUGAACAGCAAGCAUUAGCAUUGCUCCGUCCCACCCAGCAGCCCGCAGAGAAAGGAGGCAGCUGGCACCACACUGGGCUUUGGAGACACUGCGGGGACUGUGGACCCCACCCUGCUGCACGGAGCUCCUGCAAAAGCAAACCUGAGAACCUUG